rnacentral:rRNA from 1 species
AUUGAACGCUGGCGGCAUGCCUUACACAUGCAAGUCGAACGGCAGCACGGGGCAACCUGGUGACGAGUGGCGAACGGGUGAGUAAUGCAUCGGAACGUACCUUUCAGUGGGGGAUAACGUAGCGAAAGUUACGCUAAUACCGCAUAUUCUGUGAGCAGGAAAGCAGGGGAUCGCAAGACCUUGCGCUGAUUGAGCGGCCGAUGUCAGAUUAGCUAGUUGGUGAGGUAAAGGCUCACCAAGGCGACGAUCUGUAGCGGGUCUGAGAGGAUGAUCCGCCACACGGGAACGGAGACACGGUCCAGACUCCGACGGGAGGCAGCAGUGGGGAAUUUUGGACAAUGGGGGCAACCCUGAUCCAGCCAUGCCGCGUGAGUGAAGAAGGCCUUCGGGUUGUAAAGCUCUUUCGGCCGGGAAGAAAUCGCACGGGCUAAUACCCUGUGUGGAUGACGGUACCGGGAUAAGAGGCACCGGCUAACUACGUGCCAGCCGCCGCCGUAACAC